rnacentral:rRNA from 1 species
CCCUUAGACGUUCUGGGCCGCACGCGCGCUACACUGACGGAGCCAGCGAGUAUAAACCUUGGCCGAGAGGUCUGGGAAAUCUUGUGAAACUCCGUCGUGCUGGGGAUAGAGCAUUGUAAUUAUUGCUCUUCAACGAGGAGUUCCUAGUAAGCGCAAGUCAUCAGCUUGCGUUGAUUACGUCCCUGCCCUUUGUACACACCGCCCGUCGCUACUACCGAUUGAAUGGCUUAGUGAGGCUUCCGGAUUGGUUUAGAGAAGGGGGCAACUCCAUCUUGGAACCGAGAAGCUAGUCAAACUUGGUCAUUUAGAGGAAGUAAAAGUCGUAACA